GGGAGCUGAAUUAGUUGAUAAUUUCUUGCUGUUUAAUUCAAUUUGCAAAGGGGGGAAUGGCAAGAAAGUGUCCCACUUAGUUUGGCUAACAAGUAAUAACCGUUUGGUGUAUUUGGUUGGAAUGGAACGACAUUCUUUUUAACGUGAAACUUGUCAAUGUUUUGGAGCAAGCAUUAUCCUCAUUCUGAUAAAGUAGUAUGUUUGGUGUAUUUGGUUGGAAUGGAACGACAUUCGCUAAGCUUGCUCAGAGCAAGAACAUUGAUGAUCUCGUUUCGAACUCCGGCGCUGUUGGUGGUGCCGCCAUUGCCGCAUCUGCACCUGCAGCUGGUGGUGGCGCCGCAGCAGCCGCCGAACCUGCCGCCGUUGAAAUGAAGGUAUUGUUUUUAAAUUCUUUCUUUUAUGAUUCUGAUUUUUGUAUGAAAUUGUGUAACGAUGAUUUACUGAUUGGUGAAAUGAACUAAUAGGAUUGAAAUUAGAAACGGUUUUGAUAAAUCGUACCUGAAAAUAAUCUGUAGUGUAGUGUUAAAUGAAUUCUUCUAGUUCUGAAAAAAAGAAGUUGUAUAAUAGUUUUGCAAUAUUCCUUAGUAUAAAAACUUAGAAUUGAUUGACAUUGUUUGUUUUGUUGAAUUUGCUUUUCUAUACUUCUCUUUGUGAUAUGAGUGCUGUGAUCAAGUUGGGGUUAUACCUAUUUUGUAGAACUUGUAUCAGAUAAAUACUGUCAUUUGCUGCAAUUACUCUAAAAAAUAAGUUGCAUGAAAACAUUCACUAUAAGUUGCAAGAAAUCAUGUAGUUAAUUUGAUUUCUGAAGAAAUAGUAUAAGGUUGUUUUUUGUCAUUGGCAUUUGAGAAUUGGACUAUCCUUUUCAAGACAACGCUGAAUAUAAUCAUGGUACUCUUUGGAUUUGCAGCUUAUGUACAGCUUAUUGCCCAAUCGCCUAUCAUGAUAAGCCCACUUAGGCAUAAGCUUACAUGUACAGUUUAUUGUUCAAGCGCUUAUCAUGAUAAGCCCACUUAUUUAUAAGCUUGCAUAAGCUAUUUUCUAUAGUAUAAGAUAAAAUAAAGUUAACAUGUUCAAGCGCUUAUCAUGAUAAGCUCACUUAUUGAUAAAAUAAAUUAAGUUGAUUUCAUAAGUUCUCCCUAACAGUCUCACAAAACUUAUGGAAAGCUUAAAUAAGCCAAUCAUAGCAGGCCCUAUAUCCACCUUUUUUACUUUUGGGUGAUUUUUUCAUACUUUUGGUAAAUUGAAUCAAACGGCUGUGAUGGUUUAUUAGCAGGAAGGGUAGAAAUAAAAUUUUUACUUUCAAUUGGUGGACUAACCAACUUCCUUGUAUGCAAUGUAUUUGAUAAAGACUUUCACUUUUUGUAUUGGGUUUGAUAUAUGUCAUCGUAGCUACUGGGAGGCAUUUCGUGCUGUUUGCAUUGUUUACAACGUGGAGAAGUUAAUUUGGUGAUUUGCUAUGCUACUGUUAGCAGUAUUUUCAGUGGUGAUUUUGCUCUCAAUUAUGUGGAACUUUGCCAUUUAAUGAUUGUAAGAGUGCCUAAUUUUUCUGCUAUAUUAUGCAGGUGUGAAAGAGUUACACAAGUUAAUUUGUUAAAAUUGCUCUUGGAACAAUUGGAUAAUCAAUCAAGGUCGCUGUAUUGGAAUGCUAAAAUAAAAUAAAGGAAUGUAACAUUGUCAAGAUAUAGCAGGAAAAUGCCAAUGUGGGUUGCAAUACAUUGGCAUUUCCAUGUCAAUAGCAUUUGAAUUAGCUUGUAAGUUGUGUUGGUGUAUGAGAACAUGGUGGCAUUUAGCUUGGACCCAUUGAAGUAUUGGUCCAUGAUGGACCAAUUUUUUUCAACCUUAGAUUAGAUCAUCAUAGCAAUUCUUAUCGUAGUCCAUCCACACCAAAUCAAACUCAUCAACUUCAUCUCUCUGUCAUAGCAAUCUCUCUCUUUCUGUCUCAUUGCAAGCUCUCUCUCUCUCUCAAAGUGGCUGAGCUCAUUACAAAUGUAUAAAAGCGUAAUACUAAUAAUCGAAGAGAUUGAAAUUAUUAUGAACCAUAAAGAACCUCAACUUACAAACAAACCCAAAGAAACCAAAACCAAAUUCAUAACAUAAUUGGCUCGGCUUCCAUUGUUUCUUCAUGUGUAAAAACCACUACCAAGCAAGCUAAGUAUAAGAGUUUGCUAUUAUUUCAUUUUGUUGGUACAAUAUGAGUUUGUUAUUUUUAAUAUAAUUUGAUCUAAUCUAGUUUAUAAUUUGAUUAAUUAAUGGAAGACGUAAAAAAUUAAUGAAGGCAUCUGUAUGAAAGAAAAAGGCAGAGAAAGAGAGUGUAAAGUGGAGUGAUAGAGUUGAUGAGUUUGAUUUGGUGUUUAUGGACCAUGGUAAGAUUUAGUGGGUUGAUAUAAUCUAAACAUUGAAAAGAUUGGUCCAUCAUGGACCAAUAUCUUGAUGGGUUCAUUUUAUACAUACAUUAUCAUUUUGGGAACCUAUGCAUAUCUUAUGCUAGUGUGCUAUUAAUAAAAUCUGCUUAC
rnacentral:lncRNA from 1 species